GCAUGCCUAGCUCAAUCGGAUUGGGCAUCAGACUUGCGCUGGGCAUCUGAAGGCUGUGAGUUUGACCCUCGCAGUGGGCU